CCUACGGGGUGCAGCAGUGGGGAAUAUUGCGCAAUGGGCGAAAGCCUGACGCAGCGACGCCGCGUGAGGGAUGAAGGUCUUCGGAUCGUAAACCUCUGUCAGCAGGGAAGAACGGUCACUGUGCUAAUCAGCAGUGAAUUGACGGGACCUGCAAAGGAAGCACCGGCUAACUCCGUGCCAGCCGCCGCGGUAAUACGGAGGGUGCGAGCGUUAAGCGGAAUUACUGGGCGUAAAGCGCUCGUAGGCGGUAUGUCAAGUCAAGGGUGAAAUCCCCGCGCUCAACGUGGGAACUGCGUUUGAAACUGGCAAACUGGAGUGUGUGAGAGGAUAGUGGAAUUCGAGGUGUAGGAGUGAAAUCCGUAGAUAUCUGGAGGAACAUCAGUGGCGAAGGCGACUAUCUGGCACAUAACUGACGCUGAGGAGCGAAAGCGUGGGUAGCAAACAGGAUUAGAUACCCCUGUAGUC
rnacentral:rRNA from 1 species